rnacentral:sRNA from 1 species
UCUUAUCUGUUUCUGAAGAUUGAUAUUAUAACCUGUUCCAAGACAAGUUUGGUGAACAUGAAGGGUUUGUGUACAUUUACAGUUUGUCUACUUUUGUCAGUGUCCGGCUGUCUGUCUGCCUCCCUGGGAUCUUCAGUCUGUGUCGGAAACACCGUGUUCUGUUUCGUGGACCCGUGCAUGGUGUCUCGCUGUACCUAUCCUGGGGCUCGUUGUGUGUCUAACUACUGCGGUGGAUGUCACGCGUUCUGGUAUGACGGUCACGUCCGACUGUCCACGGAGCAGUGUGCUGGUUCUACAGAGAACCAUUCUACAACAAUGGCGGCCCUGAUUCCUCCAUUCUGAUAUGAUCUUAUUUAAUUUGAAUAAUAUAAACCUUAUUCCAAUUCUAAUUUUAUCAAUGACAUUGAAUAAAAGUUAUAAGAAAUUGU